UGGUUUCAUUUUCUCCUCUACACCAGGAGAAGUCUGCUGAGCCAUGGUCUGGAAGAUGUCAACCAGAGGACUCCUGGGCUGUUCUAGGGAGUUGGGCUGUUGUCCUGAGGGCAAUGGAGAGCCACUGACCCAUUUGACGGAAGAGAAUGACCAGAGCAGAUUUGCACCUGUGGAAGAUCUCCCUGGCACAGUGGGGAGCACGGGCUAGAGGGGACAAGGCCAGGGGAUAAACCAGGGGUUGGCAUGAAGGUAAUAAAUUGAGAGAGGGCACUGGGCUGGAUCAGAGUAGCAGUGGCAGGGCUGGAGAAACGUGGAGAGACCAGAGAGAGACUUAGUACCUGGAAGUGACAGCAGUGGUGGUUGUGGACUGAAUGCAGGGGGUGAGUUGAGGAAGGGCUCAGGGGCGACUGCCUGGUCCUGGCUCAGAGAAGCCCCGCAGGACACAGGAAGGAGGGAGUCUUGGGCGGGUGUUGUGGUGGAGAGAUGGCUCUGGGUGGGAACAUCCUGUCUGAGGCUCCUGGUCAAGGGGAGAUGUCCAGAGGCAGCUAGGCCUGGGGCUUCGGGGAGAGAACUGAUUUAGAAUCCAGCAGCCUGCAGAUGUGAACUUCAGCCUGGGGUGUGAGUGGAGAGAAG
rnacentral:lncRNA from 1 species